rnacentral:lncRNA from 1 species
AGACUUGACGCAGUUUCAUCUCAUUCCUGAGGUAUCCUGAGCCCCUCAGUGCCAUACUUCUGCGUGAGUGCUGUGAACUGGAGCAAAUGGGUUGAAAAUGGCCAGAAGUUGCUCUUGGUCUCUUUAGAUCUUUUAUGACAAAGAAAAAAAUUGAAUUUCUGACCAGUUAAAAUCCAUUUGAGCCAGUUUAAGCUAAUUAUGCAGAACUGGAGCCUGAGGUCGGUAAAUCCAGGAAGAUGGCUGAAUACUAUGCUGACUCAAGUACAGACAAGGAGCCAGCUUUCUUGGAUUCCAGCUUCACUUCUUCCUUGACUUCACCCUGGCCCUGUGGUGACUGGAGGCUUUGUGAUAUGAUGAGAAAACCAAGGCUCCAAGAGCUUCUGUAACUUGUCCAAGACCAUGCAGUUAGUGCACAGUGAGGCACAGAAUCAGUUGUAGAAGCACUUCAGGGAAUUCGGAUACUAUUUUGUGGCCUGGCAAGAUCAGCAGCCUUACUAUCUUAGUCCCUGCCAGUCAUCAGCUUCUGGUUUCCCUGUUAUCCUGCUGCUCCCUAGAAUGCAGCUAUUAAGUGGCCUAAGAGCCAGCACCUUCACGGAGUAGCAAAGAGGAAAGUCCAUUUGAGGACAGAGCGAGAAGACGAUGGUUAUCCACAAGCCAGAAAAAGAAGCCUCACCAGAAAUCCUGAUACUCUGAGUUUGGGUUUUCAAGCCCCUACAACUUCGAGACAAUGAAUAUCUUCUUUACAGUCUAUGAUAUCUUGUUUGGUAGACCAAGGAGACUAAUCUAUUACUUAAUAUUGGGAACAUUACUUAGAAGCUAAUGAUCUUCGAAAAUGUGAAUAUUUGUUCCUGAGGAAGAUGUUUGGUUUUCAUUUUAAGAAGUCCAGAAAACUAUGGAAAGUGCUGACAGUCCAGAACACACACAUUCAAAGGUCUCACCUUUCAUCAUCUGGGAAUAAUAGGUGCUCAAGUUCUACCUAUUUUCCUUGAUGUCCCAAGGAAGAUCCUUGCUGCAACAGAGAUGUGGAUGUCCUGGCUGAGACAAGAGAAAUGUGUUGAAGAAUGUGGGCCAAGGGCUGCUGCAUAUCAAGGGGAUGUGAGAUCAUGUCUAGUUUGACUUUGGCUCUUUAGUACUGUGCCCUAUUGAUAGUUGGGCCUGGGCCUCCAGGGGUCUCCAAAGCAAAGGAUAGGGAUGAGAUACAUGAUGAAGGGGAAGAAAAGCUGCUUCCCAAAUGGAUGCUUGUUGUUUGGAGAUGGGAUGUUUGUUAAGGUCAAGAUAAGAUCCCCAGAUUCAAGGCCUAGAUCUGCCCUUGACUUCAUGUAUGACCUUGGGUAAGCCAUUUCUAGGUUUUGAAUCUCAGUUUCUUUACAUCUUUAAAAAACGGGUUGGAGGCCAGAUGUGGUGGUUCACACCCUUAAUCGUAACACUCAGUAGGCAGAGGCAGGUAUCAGUUGAGGCUAGUCUAUAUAGUGAGUUUCAGGCCAGUCCGGAAUACAUAGUGAGACCUUGUCUCAAAAAAAAAAAAAAUCAAGAAUGGUUUGAGGCUGGGACUGUAACCCAGUUGGUAGACUUCUUACCUAAAUUGCACAAAGCUCUAGGUCCAAACCCCAGUGCUAUAUAAACAAGGCAUGGUGGUAAUAUGCUUGUCUGUAAUCCUAGAUCUUAGGUGGUAAUGGCAAGAGAAUCAGAGGUUCAAGGUCAUCAUCAGCUACAUUUUAAGUUUUGGGACAUCCUGGGAUAUAUAAGAUACUGUCUUAAAAACAAAGAAAAAGUUCAGUUUAUCUUUGAGGUACUCUCUCACACUGACCUUCAGUAUUUUUGGACCCUCAAGUUGUCUAAGGAAGGAGCAAAUGGCAAGACUAUUAUAUUUAGACUGGAAGUUAUAGAGUAUGAAAAGACUAAAAGAAAAAAAAACAUUUAAAGUACAAAACCACAAAGUAUACAAUGUUAUUGGCAUUUAUCGGUAUUUCCCACUAUAAGUAUUUUGUCCUAUUGUUCCUGGGGAACAGUUGAAAUGUCUUGGGAAACACAAUUUUCAUUGUUUCAGUUAUAUCUCCUAAAUUGUUCAUUCAACCAGCGAGGGCAUCACCAAGUUUUUUGUUUUUUGGGUUUUUUUUGUUUUGUUUUUGUUUUGUUUUGUUUUUUAACAGGGACCAGUGUCAAAUUUUUGUUUAAGGAAAUAUGGUCACCAUAACUCUGUACCACUCGCCUUAUCUUCUUUCAAGGUUGUUCUCAUAUGUGACAAGUUUUCUGUCUGUGUAAUAAAUGUUCAAGGAAAUGGAAA